UGUUUUAUUGUCUCUGAAGCCACACAGAGAGAUGAGAGGAGCAGCUAUGAGUUUAACUGCAGCAGCGAGAGGAUUUGUCGUCUCCCUUCUCUCUGUGUCAGUUUCUACCUGAACAGCCAGAGGAGCAGGAUAACCUUCAGUAUGCCAGCAUUCACUUCACCAACAACCAGGCAGAUCCUCUCUACUCCAACAUCAGACCAGCUCGCUCCCUCAGACACACGGAGCAACAAGAUUUCAUGGAGUACGCUGUUGUCACAUUUAAGAGUAAUACUGCCCCGAGAUCCAGAGGUCAGGAACCUGGAGAGGAUCCAUCUGCAUUGUACAGCACAGUCAACGACCAAAACAG